ACUUUGCUUUUGAUUCAUCAGCUUUUUGGGAGGUUGUUCAAGUGAGUCCCAGUAUCAUUGAAAAUUAGGAUCUGCAUCUCGGCCAAAACGUGCUAUGAGGGAAGCAGGGAUGCUUUCAUUUAAUUGUGUUGAACUGUAUUGAAUGAGAGCAGAUUCCUAUGGAAACUGGAGCAUACAGUCAGGUAAUCAAAGGUUGUAUCUGAAGAAGACUGAAUUGGCACUAUCUGCUUCCUGACUUUGGAGUCCUUGAGUUUUCAACCUCAUGGAUGUUUUUUUAAUGGAAUAUAAUCUGUAUAGCAAAGGCACACGCUGGUGUGGUGUUUAUAUCAAUGCUCUAGUCUGGUUCAAAGCUCAAACUGUUCAGAGGCUUGGAGUGUAAAAAUAAAUCCAAGGGAAGAUUUAUUAGCAGACAAAGCCCAGGCACAGCAGUCAAUGAUAUGACCUGACUAGUGCAACAUCUAUAUGGCUUGUGUGUGUUGUAUGUGUUCAUGCAGUUACAGAAACAAAGGCCUCUAUAGUGAAAGAUACACCGAGCAGCCUCUUAAUUUCUCCCCCCUGCCCCAGGAAAUAGAUCAUACUAUGCAGCAAACGGCACGUGAUGGAAGAGGGCUUCAAGUGUCUAUUUGCUCUAGGUAAGAAGAGAUUAGUAAAAGGGCAUGUCAAGCUCCUUUGAUGAGCAGAAAUGAAGUUGCUUUAAAUUCUACCAGAGAUUUUGGACAAACUCAAUUCAAAUAUUCAUCUGUAAGUUAAAGACUUGAUACACUAGGCAUGGACACAAAAAGCUAGAGCAAAACUUGUAGAGCUGAUGCGGGAGCUAAUUAUACAGCCUUUCUUGCAAAUGGAAAUUCUAAGUGAGGACUUUUCUGGUUAAUUUAAUGAAAAUCAUCCUGAUACAUUAUUAGACUCUUAACAGUUGGCCAGAGGAGAUACAUGGAAGAGAGCAAAUAGAGACAGAGAAGGAACUGAUGAUACCGGAGAACAAGUGGUGCUGGCACUUCAAGCAAAACAGGAUCAAAGAGGAGAUUGCUUUCAGGUGAGUUUGCCACAGGAAGGGCAGCAGUCUUGGCACAGACACCAGGCUGGUGCUAUUAUUAUUGCUAUUACACACACUGUGGACAAAUAGAGUUACGUCUGGAGCCAGUGUAUGGAAUCCCAGGGGUUUCAGGUAACAGUUGAGUCAUGAAGUGAAGCAGAAAAAGCAAUAUGCCACAACACUUCCAUAGCCUGGCUUUUGUUCUCUAUCAUAUGCAAAAGACAGCAAGCAGGUCACCCUGUGCAAUGUGCACCAGUGUCGGCAUACACUGAGACUAAUUUUUGGCAUAGAGUAAGCCUGCACACUCAAGGGUGAGGACAUUUUGUUGCUGUUGCCCAAACAUUCUUAGAGGGUUUUGUUUUAGACAAAGUAUAAUUGUGUGCCUUUGAUUCAGAUCAUGAAUCUGCACUGUAGUUAUUUACAAGGGACUGUGU